rnacentral:tRNA from 1 species
GCCGACGUAGCUCAGUUGGAUAGAGCGUCUGACUGUGGAUCAGAAGGUCCCCGGUUCGAGCCCGGGCGUCGGUA